rnacentral:rRNA from 1 species
UAGGGAAUUUUCGUCAAUGGGCGCAAGCCUGAACGAGCAAUAGCCGCGUGAACGAGGAAGGUCUUCGGAUCGUAAAGUUCUGUUGAAGGGGAAAAAGAGCGGAGAGAGGAAAUGCUUUCUGAUUGAUAUUACCCUUCGAGGAAGUCACGGCUAACUACGUGCC